rnacentral:rRNA from 1 species
GCAAGUCGAGGGGUAACGGAAGUAGCUUGCUACUAGACGACGACCGGCGCACGGGUGAGUAACGCGUAUGUAAUCUGCCUUGUACAGAGGGAUAGCCCAGAGAAAUUUGGAUUAAUACCUCAUAGUAUUACUGAAUCGCAUGAUUUGGUAAUUAAAGCUCCGGCGGUACAAGAUGAACAUGCGUGACAUUAGCUAGUUGGUAAGGUAACGGCUUACCAAGGCUACGAUGUCUAGGGGUUCUGAGAGGAUGAUCCCCCACACUGGUACUGAGACACGGACCAGACUCCUACGGGAGGCAGCAGUGAGGAAUAUUGGUCAAUGGACGCAAGUCUGAACCAGCCAUCCCGCGUGAAGGAUGACUGCCCUAUGGGUUGUAAACUUCUUUUAUAUGCAAAUAAACCUACUUUCGUGAAAGUAGCUGAAGGUAGCAUAUGAAUAAACACCGGCUAACUCCGUGCCAGCAGCCGCGGUAAUACGGAGGGUGUAAGCGUUAUCCGGAUUUAUUGCGUUUAAAGGGUACGUAGGCGGUAAUAUAAGUCAGUGGUGAAAUCCUGCA